GCAUAUCAAUAAGCGGAGGAAAAGAAACCAACAGGGAUUGCCUCAGUAACGGCGAGUGAAGCGGCAACAGCUCAAAUUUGAAAUCUGGCCCUCGGGUCCGAGUUGUAAUUUGCAGAGGAUGCUUCGGGCGCGGCGCCUUCCAAGUCCCCUGGAACGGGGCGCCACAGAGGGUGAGAGCCCCGUCGGGUCGGCCGCCAAGCCUGUGUGAAGCUCCUUCGACGAGUCGAGUAGUUUGGGAAUGCUGCUCUAAGCGGGAGGUAGACCCCUUCUAAAGCUAAAUACCGGCCAGAGACCGAUAGCGCACAAGUAGAGUGAUCGAAAGAUGAAAAGCACUUUGAAAAGAGGGUCAAAUAGUACGUGAAAUUGCUGAAAGGGAAGCGCUUGUGACCAGACGUGCGCCGGGGUGUUCCGCGGGCGUUCUCGCCCGCGCACUCGCCCCGGCGCAGGCCAGCGUCGGUUCCGGCGGGGGGACAAAGGCAGCGGGAACGUAGCUCCCCCGGGAGUGUUAUAGCCCGCCGCGCCAUGCCCCCUCCGGGACCGAGGUUCGCGCUCCGCAAGGACGCUGGCGUAAUGGUCCCCAGCGGCCCGUCUUGAAACACGGACCAAGGAGUCGAGGUUCUGCGCGAGUGUAUGGGUGUCAAACCCGCACGCGCAAUGAAAGUGAACGCAGGUGGGAGCUUCGGCGCACCACCGACCGAUCCUGAUGUGCUCGGAUGGAUUUGAGUAGGAGCGCAGGGCCUCGGACCCGAAAGAUGGUGAACUAUACGUGGAUAGGGUGAAGCCAGAGGAAACUCUGGUGGAGGCUCGCAGCGGUUCUGACGUGCAAAUCGAUCGUCAAAUCUGCGUAUGGGGGCGAAAGACUAAUCGAACCAUCUAGUAGCUGGUUACCGCCGAA
rnacentral:rRNA from 1 species